AGCGAAUCGAUGGGAGCUUGCUCCCUGAGAUUAGCGGCGGACGGGUGAGUAACACGUGGGCAACCUGCCUAUAAGACUGGGAUAACUUCGGGAAACCGGAGCUAAUACCGGAUACGUUCUUUUCUCGCAUGAGAGAAGAUGGAAAGACGGUUUACGCUGUCACUUAUAGAUGGGCCCGCGGCGCAUUAGCUAGUUGGUGAGGUAAUGGCUCACCAAGGCGACGAUGCGUAGCCGACCUGAGAGGGUGAUCGGCCACACUGGGACUGAGACACGGCCCAGACUCCUACGGGAGGCAGCAGUAGGGAAUCUUCCGCAAUGGACGAAAGUCUGACGGAGCAACGCCGCGUGAACGAAGAAGGCCUUCGGGUCGUAAAGUUCUGUUGUUAGGGAAGAACAAGUACCAGAGUAACUGCUGGUACCUUGACGGUACCUAACCAGAAAGCCACGGCUAACUACGUGCCAGCAGCCGCGGUAAUACGUAGGUGGCAAGCGUUGUCCGGAAUUAUUGGGCGUAAAGCGCGCGCAGGUGGUUCCUUAAGUCUGAUGUGAAAGCCCACGGCUCAACCGUGGAGGGUCAUUGGAAACUGGGGAACUUGAGUGCAGAAGAGGAAAGUGGAAUUCCAAGUGUAGCGGUGAAAUGCGUAGAGAUUUGGAGGAACACCAGUGGCGAAGGCGACUUUCUGGUCUGUAACUGACACUGAGGCGCGAAAGC
rnacentral:rRNA from 1 species